AGCUUGCUGGGUGGAUAGUGGCGACGGGUGAGUACACGUGAGUACUGCCUUACUCUGGGAUAGCUGGGAACUGGGUCUAAUACCGGAUAGGAGCGUCCACCGCAUGGUGGGUGUUGGAAGAUUUAUCGGUUUUGGAUGGACUCGCGGCCUAUCAGCUUGUUGGUGAGGUAAUGGCUCACCAAGGCGACGACGGGUAGCCGGCCUGAGAGGGUGACCGGCCACACUGGGACUGAGACACGGCCCAGACUCCUACGGGAGGCAGCAGUGGGGAAUAUUGCACAAUGGGCGCAAGCCUGAUGCAGCGACGCCGCGUGAGGGAUGACGGCCUUCGGGUUGUAAACCUCUUUCAGUAGGGAAGAAGCGAAAGUGACGGUACCUGCAGAAGAAGCACCGGCUAACUACGUGCCAGCAGCCGCGGUAAUACGUAGGGUGCGAGCGUUAUCCGGAAUUAUUGGGCGUAAAGAGCUCGUAGGCGGUUUGUCGCGUCUGUCGUGAAAGUCCGGGGCUUAACCCCGGAUCUGCGGUGGGUACGGGCAGACUAGAGUGCAGUAGGGGAGACUGGAAUUCCUGGGUGUAGCGGUGGAAUGCGCAGAUAUCAGGAGGAACACCGAUGGCGAAGGCAGGUCUCUGGGCUGUAACUGACGCUGAGGAGCGAAAGCAUGGGGAGCGAACAGGAUUAGAUACCCUGGUAGUCCAUGCCGUAAACGUUGGGCACUAGGUGUGGGGACCAUUCCACGGUUUCCGCGCCGCAGCUAACGCAUUAAGUGCCCCGCCUGGGGAGUACGGCCGCAAGGCUAAAACUCAAAGGAAUUGACGGGGGCCCGCACAAGCGGCGGAGCAUGCGGAUUAAUUCGAUGCAACGCGAAGAACCUUACCAAGGCUUGACAUGUUCUCGAUCGCCGUAGAGAUACGGUUUCCCCUUUGGGGCGGGUUCACAGGUGGUGCAUGGUUGUCGUCAGCUCGUGUCGUGAGAUGUUGGGUUAAGUCCCGCAACGAGCGCAACCCUCGUUCCAUGUUGCCAGCACGUAAUGGUGGGGACUCAUGGGAGACUGCCGGGGUCAACUCGGAGGAAGGUGAGGACGACGUCAAAUCAUCAUGCCCCUUAUGUCUUGGGCUUCACGCAUGCUACAAUGGCCGGUACAAUGGGUUGCGAUACUGUGAGGUGGAGCUAAUCCCAAAAAGCCGGUCUCAGUUCGGAUUGGGGUCUGCAACUCGACCCCAUGAAGUCGGAGUCGCUAGUAAUCGCAGAUCAGCAACGCUGCGGUGAAUACGUUCCCGGCCCUUGUACACACCGCCCGUCAAGUCACGAGUGUCGGUCACACCCGA
rnacentral:rRNA from 1 species